rnacentral:rRNA from 1 species
UACAUGCAAGUCGAGCGAGAAGACGUAGCAAUACGUUUGUAAAGCGGCGAACGGGUGAGGAAUACAUGGGUAACCUACCCUCGAGUGGGGAAUAACUAGCCGAAAGGUUAGCUAAUACCGCAUACGACUCUUGGUCUGCGGAUCGAGAGGGAAAGCGAUACCGUGGGUAUCGCGCUCUUGGAUGGGCUCAUGUCCUAUCAGCUUGUUGGUGAGGUAACGGCUCACCAAGGCUUCGACGGGUAGCUGGUCUGAGAGGACGAUCAGCCACACUGGCACUGCGACACGGGCCAGACUCCUACGGGAGGCAGCAGUAAGGAAUAUUGCGCAAUGGGCGACAGCCUGACGCAGCGACGCCGCGUGGGGGAUGAAGGUCUUCGGAUUGUAAACCCCUUUCGGCAGGGAAGAUGGAACGGGCAACCGUUCGGACGGUACCUGCAGAAGCAGCCACGGCUAACUUCGUGCCAGCAGCCGCGGUAAUACGAAGGUGGCAAGCGUUGUUCGGAUUUACUGGGCGUACAGGGAGCGUAGGCGGUUGGGUAAGCCCUCCGUGAAAUCUCCGGGCCUAACCCGGAAAGUGCGGAGGGGACUGCUCGGCUAGAGGAUGGGAGAGGAGCGCGGAAUUCCCGGUGUAGCGGUGAAAUGCGUAGAGAUCGGGAGGAAGGCCGGUGGCGAAGGCGGCGCUCUGGAACAUUUCUGACGCUGAGGCUCGAAAGCGUGGGGAGCAAACAGGAUUAGAUACCCUGGUAGUCCACGCCUUAAACGAUGGAUACUAAGUGUCGGCGGGUUACCGCCGGUGCCGCAGCUAACGCAGUAAGUAUCCCGCCUGGGAAGUACGGCCGCAAGGUUGAAACUCAAAGGAAUUGACGGGGGCCCGCACAAGCGGUGGAGCAUGUGGUUUAAUUCGACGCAACGCGAAGAACCUUACCCAGGC